AACGAACGCUGGCGGCAUGCCUAACACAUGCAAGUCGAACGAGAUCUUCGGGUCUAGUGGCGCACGGGUGCGUAACGCGUGGGAACCUGCCCUUUGGUUCGGAAUAACAGUUGGAAACGACUGCUAAUACCGGAUGAUGACGAAAGUCCAAAGAUUUAUCGCCAGAGGAUGAGCCCGCGUAGGAUUAGCUAGUUGGUGUGGCAAAGGCGCACCAAGGCGACGAUCCUUAGCUGGUCUGAGAGGAUGAUCAGCCACACUGGGACUGAGACACGGCCCAGACUCCUACGGGAGGCAGCAGUGGGGAAUAUUGGACAAUGGGCGAAAGCCUGAUCCAGCAAUGCCGCGUGAGUGAUGAAGGCCUUAGGGUUGUAAAGCUCUUUUACCCGGGAUGAUAAUGACAGUACCGGGAGAAUAAGCUCCGGCUAACUCCGUGCCAGCAGCCGCCGCCG
rnacentral:rRNA from 1 species